CGUUUUGUGGUUUAGUUGGUUAAAGCGCCAGUCUAGCGAAUACGGAGUCAUGGGAUCGAAUCCCACCAGAACGA
rfam:Aedes albopictus isolate Foshan contig126939, whole genome shotgun sequence.